ACUGAACGCUGGCGGCAUGCUUUACACAUGCAAGUCGAACGGUAACAGGCCGCAAGGUGCUGACGAGUGGCGAACGGGUGAGUAAUGCAUCGGAACGUGCCCAGUCGUGGGGGAUAACGCAGCGAAAGCUGCGCUAAUACUGCAUACGAUCUAUGGAUGAAAGCGGGGGACCGUAAGGCCUCGCGCGAUUGGAGCGGGCGAUGUCAGAUUAGGUAGUUGGUGGGGUAAAGGCUCACCAAGCCAACGAUCUGUAGCUGGUCUGAGAGGACGACCAGCCACACUGGGACUGAGACACGGCCCAGACUCCUACGGGAGGCAGCAGUGGGGAAUUUUGGACAAUGGGCGCAAGCCUGAUCCAGCAAUGCCGCGUGCAGGAAGAAGGCCUUCGGGUUGUAAACUGCUUUUGUACGGAACGAAACGGUCCUGGUUAAUGCCUGGGGCUAAUGACGGUACCGUAAGAAUAAGCACCGGCUAACUACGUGCCAGCCGCCGCAGUAAUAC
rnacentral:rRNA from 1 species